rnacentral:rRNA from 1 species
UACGUAGGGUGCAAGCGUUAAUCGGAAUUACUGGGCGUAAAGCGUGCGCAGGCGGUUUUGUAAGUCUGACGUGAAAUCCCCGGGCUCAACCUGGGAAUUGCGUUGGAGACUGCAAGGCUGGAGUCUGGCAGAGGGGGGUAGAAUUCCACGUGUAGCAGUGAAAUGCGUAGAUAUCGUAAGGAAGACCAGUGGCGAAGGCGGAUCUCUGGACAGUUACUGACACUGAGGCACGAAGGCCAAGGGGAGCAAACGGG